UGAAAUCUCAACAGGCCCGGACACUGGAAGGAUUGACAGAUUGAUAGCUCUUUCUUGAUUCGGUGCGUGGUGGUGCAUGGCCGUUCUUAGUUGGUUGAGUGAUUUGUCGGCUUAAUUUGACUCAACGCGGGAAAUCUCACCAGGCCCGGACACUGGAAGGAUUGACAGAUUGAUAGCUCUUUCUUGUUAGCAAUAA
rnacentral:rRNA from 1 species